AGCUCUGUAGUGAACACCAUAUUGAAUUGCAAAUUCAAAGAAGCAGCCUGACGCUGCCGGGGCUUC
rnacentral:tRNA from 1 species